UGGGGAAUAUUGGACAAUGGGCGAAAGCCUGAUCCAGCCAUGCCGCGUGAGUGAAGAAGGCCCUAGGGUUGUAAAGCUCUUUCAGCGGGGAAGAUAAUGACGGUACCCGCAGAAGAAGCCCCGGCUAACUUCGUGCCAGCAGCCGCGGUAAUACGAAGGGGGCUAGCGUUGUUCGGAUUUACUGGGCGUAAAGCGCGCGUAGGCGGAUUGUUAAGUCAGAGGUGAAAUCCCGGGGCUCAACCUCGGAACUGCCUUUGAUACUGGCAAUCUGGAGUUCGGGAGAGGUGAGUGGAAUUCCGAGUGUAGAGGUGAAAUUCGUAGAUAUUCGGAGGAACACCAGAAGCGAAGGCGGCUCACUGGCCCGAUACUGACGCUGAGGCGCGAAAGCGUGGGGAGCAAACAGGAUUAGAUACCCCCGUAGUCC
rnacentral:rRNA from 1 species